CUUCGGGGGCAGAGUGACAGGUGGUGCAUGGUUGUCGUCAGCUCGUGUCGUGAGAUGUUGGGUUAAGUCCCGCAACGAGCGCAACCCUUGAUCUUAGUUGCCAGCAUUCAGUUGGGCACUCUAAGGUGACUGCCGGUGACAAACCGGAGGAAGGUGGGGAUGACGUCAAAUCAUCAUGCCCCUUAUGACCUGGGCUACACACGUGCUACAAUGGACAGAACAAAGGGCAGCGAAACCGCGAGGUUAAGCCAAUCCCACAAAUCUGUUCUCAGUUCGGAUCGCAGUCUGCAACUCGACUGCGUGAAGCUGGAAUCGCUAGUAAUCGCGGAUCAGCAUGCCGCGGUGAAUACGUUCCCGGGCCUUGUACACACCGCCCGUCACACCACGAGAGUUUGUAACACCCGAAGUCGGUGAGGUAACCUUUUAGGAGCCAGCCGCCGAAGGUGGGACAGAUGAUUGGGGUGAAGUCGUAACAAGGUAGCCGUAUCGGAAGGUGCGGCUGGAUCACCUCCUUUCUA
rnacentral:rRNA from 1 species